UUAAACUUCAAUAUUUCUAUUGGCAUCAUCUGUAAACCAAAAAUGAGAGGAAAAAAAGAAGAAGAGGAAGUAAAACAGAGAAUAAGAAAACCAGAGAAGAAAAAUAACAGCAGCAGCAGCAGCAACAGAGAAGAAGAAGAAAAAUGGAGAAAAUGAAAAAGAAGAAAUUUAGAUGAGGAGAAGAGGAGAGAAGAAGAAGGAAGAAGCAAAAGCACAGGAAGAAAGAAGAAAAAGAAGAAAAGAGGAAUAAAACUAUGAAUUGCAGCCUUACAACCCAGUUAAAAGCCAGCAUUUAACUUGUUGGCAGGCAGCGGCCGCUUUUCUCCAGCUAUAUGGUGGCUGCCAAGGCAGGCUACACUUGCAAUAUCGGUCCGCUUUGUUCCAAAAUGCCAUGGAGGCCUGCUAUGCCAAAAGCAUAGCACCGAGCAUGUAAAUCCGCUAUGGCGGACACCCAUAAUAGCGGCCCGCUUUGUUCCAAACCGCCAUGGAGUCCCACUAUGCAAAAAGCAUAGCGCCGAGCAUGCAAAUCCGCCAUGGCCGCUAUUUAGAACAAAGCUUCUGUUUCCUGAAGUGUUUGGCUAUUUAUGUAGGAUGUUAUAAUGGUAUUUUGUCGUGCCCUGAUCACUUGAACAUUUAUACUUAUUGUGUGUUUGUAUCAUAAUUGAUGUCUUACUCAGAUUCUUCAUGAGGAGUUUGGGAAUCCAUCCAUUAGAGGAUGGAUUUCAUUUUAAAUUAUUUUGAAAAGUGUAUUGAUACUAAUGAGCUGGAUUAGCCAUCACUAGGUGUCUGUGAGAGUUAGCAUUACAUAGGUAAACAAUGGACAGCAUAGUCACAUAAGAUAACUGAGUUGCUAACAUGCAGAAUAGCUGGGCAUUCCUCUUUCUCCUCCGUGAUAUCAUAACUGUUAUACAUAAUUUAUAGGAAAAUACAUGUUAUAUGAUGCAUCGCACGAUUAACAUUUAUUCAUUCUUUGAUUGUCAUUUACAGGCAUGUCAUAUAGAUAUUUCUUUAAUGCUUGUCACAACUGAAUUAACACUUUUACUAUGUUUCAUCCCCUUUGUGGUGGUGCAACAUUAUUUGAUUUCCCUAGUUCAACAAUUUGUAAUUAAAGUUUCUUAUUGCUUUGCUUCCAUUUCUUGUCUAUUAUUUGUUUCAUUUGCUGGUGCACACAUUGGUAAAUAGCACCAAUCAUAAUGAAACUUUUUGGACUUUGCUUUUCAGUAUGAUAAACCAUCAUAUUAUCAGAUAUUAAUCUGUUAUUUCUUUAGCGAUAGACAUGACUCAUGUAAUUAUUCCCCUUUUUUGGUUUUUUGCUGUGAUUUUUUGAAGUAUUUCUGUUGGUAGGCUUGCAUUCGCUUAGAGAAGUUAUUUCUCCUAAGCAUCCUCCUACUUAGAUUAAGUGCCCUUCAACUUGUUUUUGUUAUCUUCUCUCUCCUACGUGUCCUGCAACUUUUCUAAUCUGAUGGAUUUCUAACUUGCUUUUGUUUCAGUGUGCUUCUUUUUGGUAUAUUUAUUGAGCCAUUCCAUCGAACAAAAAGUGCGACAGAUAUUAAUUCUCUUUUGUGAGGUCCAUUUUUCAAUAUUGUACAUUCUUCAACUUGAUCUUAUCUCAAGUGCUUUAGAGCGCAGUGGUUCCUUAACUAUGGAAGUUCUGUCACAGUUAGGGUUAUCAAUUCAUGCUACUAUCAGAGACUUUGUGGAGAUAGGUUUAUUAGUGUGCUUCUGUGCAGUGCACAAUCAUGGGUUUGAUAUGCUAUAUUCACUCUCAAAAGUCCUAAAACAUGCUCCUUAUCCUCCUCUUGGAUUUAGCAUCUUGAAAGCUGGUUUGAAUAAGUCGGUUCUUUUCUCAGUUUAUGCCUCAGCAAGUUUCAGGGAUGGUCAGUCUCUCAACUCUUCACAUGGUA